GCGGCCCGGCACGGCGGUGCCGCCAGGAGGCGGAGCGGUGAGAUAGUUGGAAAAGCGUACCUCGGGAUCCGCGCCGCUGCCGCCUUCCAGCUGUGCUGGUGCGGUGCUGAGCUCUCCGGCCCUUUGCUGGGCUUCGGCGAUGAAAGAGAUGAAUACAAGAAAAGUUGCUGCUUGAGCUGGGGAACCACGAGAUAUUGUCUACUUGGUGAGAUCCACAAGUUCUGAACCCC